ACAUGAGCACUUCUGCCCCAAGGACUGUCUGACCUGAGAAUGGGGAGAAAUGAACAUCAAUCUCAGGUUUGUCAGCCCAUGUGGCAGUGGUUGGCAGCA
rnacentral:pre_miRNA from 12 species